rnacentral:rRNA from 1 species
UACGUAGGGUGCAAGCGUUAUCCGGAAUUAUUGGGCGUAAAGAGCUCGUAGGCGGUUUGUCGCGUCUGCUGUGAAAACUGGAGGCUCAACCUCCAGCCUGCAGUGGGUACGGGCAAACUAGAGUGCGGUAGGGGAGAUUGGAAUUCCUGGUGUAGCGGUGGAAUGCGCAGAUAUCAGGAGGAACACCGAUGGCGAAGGCGGGUCUCUGGGCCGUAACUGACGCUGAGGAGCGAAAGCGUGGGGAGCGAACAGG